rnacentral:lncRNA from 1 species
AGGCUCAACACUCCUUCAUUUAUUUCUCUAUUUAGGACGAGCUCUUCCAUGCACAGGGAGGGAUUCACAGAGAUUGAGCAGGAAAAUCAGUUUAAUUACAAGAGAAACCAGAAGAAUGAGGCGACAAUCAGGCCACAGGAGCACGUUUGCUGGCUGAAAUAAACUUGCGCACCUCAUAAAAAGAACCAGUAAUGAUGCUACCAUUUCAUGGGAUAUUACACCAUAAUGAUGAU